rnacentral:misc_RNA from 1 species
AAACUUAUCUAGGAAAAUAAAUAACCCAAUUAAAAAUAGAAAUCCCUGUGAAAAUAGGAAAACACAGUCUUUUGAGUCUGGUCUUGAUUUGUGCACCACGUUAAUAAUUAAAAAAGGAUCCAAAUGCUUCCUUGCCAAAUCAUAAUUGAACUUUUUACUUUCCUCACCUCACUAAGUCAAUUAACAAAGAGAAAGAAUGGAACAACAAGGGGGUGUUCAAAUCAGAAUAUUAUAUAAUCAACAAUUCAACCUCAAUUAGGAUAAAACUAGUUUAAAAAAAACUAAUUAAACUUAUU